rnacentral:rRNA from 1 species
GUAGUCUCGCACAGAUGCAUAUCAAUAAGCGGAGGAAAAGAAACUAACAAGGAUUCCCUUAGUAACGGCGAGUGAAGCGGGAAGAGCUCAAAUUUGAAAUCUUCAAGGUUUUACCUUGACGAAUUGUAGUUUAAAGAAGUGUUUUCUGUUGAAGUUUUGGUAAAAGUUCUUUGGAAUAGGACAUCAUAGAGGGUGAGAAUCCCGUAUUUGACCAUUAUUUUCAGCUGUGUGAUACACUUUCAAAGAGUCGGAUUGUUUGGGAAUGCAGUCCAAAAUGGGUGGUAAACUUCAUCUAAAGCUAAAUAUUGGCGAGAGACCGAUAGCGAACAAGCUACCGUGAGGGAAAGAUGAAAAGAACUUUGAAAAGAGAGUUAAACAGGUACGUGAAAUUGUCAAAAGGGAAGCGUUUGACACCAGUGUUGUUUUCUCGAAAAUCAAUUAAAAAGAGUUAGAUUUUGUUGUGUAUUGACCUUAACAGCUUGCAUUUCAAUUUUCUUGCUUUUUUUAAUGCACUUUUCGUUUAACAAGUCAACAUCAGUUUCUUUUGUUGUAAAAAGGUCAUUGGAAGGUGGCUUUCUUUUCGGAGAAAGUGUUUAUAGCCUUUGACUCCUGCAAUCGGAGAGACUGAGGUCUGCAGCGUAGAUCCUUCGGGGUUAGAUACAUUUGUGCUAAGUUAUAGCUUUUUAUAGACAACUUGUUGACUAUGAUUAGUCUUGUAGCUUACUCGCUUAUGCUAUUUUACCUACGCUUAGGAUGUUGAGCGCAUGUCUCUCUCU